UGAUCACUUAACAGAAAUUGCUUGAGUUGGUAGUAUUUCUGAAUGGUCAAAUAGUUCAGAAAUUGCAUGCUGAAGCUAGCUUCUCCUGGUACUGGUCAAACUCAACUCCCACAAAUUUUAGUCAUCCAUUGAAUGCUAUUACUUUGAGGACACUAUCUUAGAAAGGUGAGUUAUUAGAGUCUGGAAACAAAGUGAGACUGGUUUUGAGCUGUUAGUUAUAGUACUUAACUAUGAUGGAGUAUGCAACAAGUAUUGAAUGGCUGAGAUAUAAUCCUCCACUAUUAUGUCAGCAGGAUAGGAUUCACGCAACCAAGUUUAC
rnacentral:lncRNA from 1 species